UCUCUGUGAUGCCAUACCAAUAGAUCCUUCUGACCCUCCUCUGUGCACUCCUAGCAGGGAGAUGAAGAGGAACAUGACUGAGAGA